rnacentral:lncRNA from 1 species
UAGCAGGGCAGGGCGGGGGGACCCAGAGUGGAGCGGCUCGCCCUGCCUGCGGAUGACGUCCACCAGGAUGUCAAUCACGAUGAUGGUGCCCGUGCAUCCGAUGCCCCCACUGAGGACAAACUAGGCGGCCUUUGACGAGAGUGGGGGGCGGGGGCGGGGGCGCCCCCGCCCACCCGAUGGCUCCGCCCUCGUCGUCCCGCGUGGCCCCGCCCCGCCGCACCUGCACCUGCACAGCCCGCGUGGCCCCGCCCCGCCGCACCUGCAUCUGCACAGCCCGCGUGGGCCCGCCCCGCCGCAGCUGAAGUGCACCACCAUGGGCCCGGCCCGCGGCUUGCUGCUCUGGGCCCGGUUCACCUCGUCCCGGAAGCCGAGGACGCCGGCGGGAUCGGCCCGGACGCCGUAGUCCGGCCAGCCGAAGUACUGGAAGUGCUGCACCGUACGCUGUGGCUCCUCCUGAGCGGGGCAAGCGCUCCCGCACGCAGUAGCCCUGGGCCUGGCCCUUGCCGAGGACGCGCAUGUGCACACGGCCGAACUCUUGGCUGCCGGGCAGCUCUGGCCAGUCCCGGAAACACUUGUUCCGAGGGGAGCGCUUUGCAUCAGCCUUGCUGGCAGCACCUCGGCACCCCGCCCCUGCGACCUGCAGAGACGCAGACCCUGUGGUGAGCAGAGAUGGAGGGUCCAGGGUAUGCAAGGGGGAGCCUCAGGUCAGCGGUGGCAGAUGCUCGGCCUGCCCCCCACCUCCCCCAGGCCCGACGGGUGACGCCCUGGCCUCCGCCCUCACAGGGAAGGAUGUUCUUGUAGUGAUUCUUGGGCUUGUUCUCCACACUCUGCCCCUCCUUCCGAGGGUACAGGAACCGGCAUUCCUGCUGCUGCAGCAUCUGGAGGUGAUGGAGCCUUCAGCUCACAGCCCCGGCCCCUUCCCAGAGCCCGAGAUGGCCACCCCCAGCCCGUCCCGUGUGGGCGGAAGAGUACCUAGGUGCCGAGGCAAGAGACUGAAGGCACAAACUGUUUCAGUAUAAUAAAGAAAAUA